rnacentral:rRNA from 1 species
CAUGCAAGUCGAGCGCACCUUCGGGUGAGCGGCGGACGGGUUAGUAACGCGUGGGAACAUACCCUUCUCUAAGGAAUAGCCACUGGAAACGGUGAGUAAUACCUUAUACGCCCUUCGGGGGAAAGAUUUAUCGGAGAUGGAUUGGCCCGCGUUAGAUUAGAUAGUUGGUGGGGUAACGGCCUACCAAGUCUACGAUCUAUAGCUGGUUUUAGAGGAUGAUCAGCAACACUGGGACUGAGACACGGCCCAGACUCCUACGGGAGGCAGCAGUGGGGAAUCUUAGACAAUGGGCGAAAGCCUGAUCUAGCGAUGCCGCGUGAGUGAUGAAGGCCUUAGGGUCGUAAAGCUCUUUCGCCAGGGAUGAUAAUGACAGUACCUGGUAAAGAAACCCCGGCUAACUCCGUGCCAGCAGCCGCGGUAAUACGGAGGGGGUUAGCGUUGUUCGGAAUUACUGGGCGUAAAGCGCACGUAGGCGGACUAUUAAGUGAGGGGUGAAAUCCCAGGGCUCAACCCUGGAACUGCCUCUCAUACUGGUAGUCUUGAGUUCGAGAGAGGUGAGUGGAAUUCCGAGUGUA